rnacentral:rRNA from 1 species
GGUGUGGUUCAUGACUGGGGUGAAGUCGUAACAAGGUAGCCGUAGGGGAACCUGCGGCUGGAUCACCUCCUUA